CCGGCGCACGGGUGCGUAACGCGUAUGCAACCUACCUUUAACAGGGGAUAACACUGAGAAAUUGGUACUAAUACCCCAUAAUAUCAUAGAAGGCAUCUUUUAUGGUUGAAAAUUCCGAUGGUUAGAGAUGGGCAUGCGUUGUAUUAGCUAGUUGGUGGGGUAACGGCUCACCAAGGCUCCGAUCGGUAUCCGGCCUGAGAGGGCGGACGGACACACUGGGACUGAGACACGGCCCAG
rnacentral:rRNA from 1 species